GACGAACGCUGGCGGCGUGCAUAACACAUGCAAGUCAAGGGGGUCAGUAGCAAUACUGGCAACCGGCGAACGGGUGCGUAACACGUAAGCGACCUACCUCAAUGUGGGGCAUAGCCGGCCUAACGGCCGGGUAAUUCCGCAUGUGAUCUUGGAGGGGCAUCUCUCCGGGAUGAAACCAGUAAUGGGCAUUGAGAGGGGCUUGCGGCCUAUCAGCUUGUUGGGAGGUAACGGCUCACCAAGGCUACGACGGGUAGCUGGUCUGAGAGGAUGGCCAGCCACAUUGGGACUGAGAAACGGCCCAGACUCCUACGGGAGGCAGCAGUGGGGAAUCUUGCGCAAUGGUCUAACGACUGACGCAGCGACGCCGCGUGAGGGAUGAAGCUCUUCGGAGUGUAAACCUCUGUUGCCCGGGACG
rnacentral:rRNA from 1 species